CCUUUCGGGGUGGAUUAGUGGCGAACGGGUGAGUAACACGUGGGCAAUCUGCCCUUCACUCUGGGACAAGCCCUGGAAACGGGGUCUAAUACCGGAUAACACUCUGUCCCGCAUGGGACGGGGUUAAAAGCUCCGGCGGUGAAGGAUGAGCCCGCGGCCUAUCAGCUUGUUGGUGGGGUAAUGGCCUACCAAGGCGACGACGGGUAGCCGGCCUGAGAGGGCGACCGGCCACACUGGGACUGAGACACGGCCCAGACUCCUACGGGAGGCAGCAGUGGGGAAUAUUGCACAAUGGGCGAAAGCCUGAUGCAGCGACGCCGCGUGAGGGAUGACGGCCUUCGGGUUGUAAACCUCUUUCAGCAGGGAAGAAGCGAAAGUGACGGUACCUGCAGAAGAAGCGCCGGCUAACUACGUGCCAGCAGCCGCGGUAAUACGUAGGGCGCAAGCGUUGUCCGGAAUUAUUGGGCGUAAAGAGCUCGUAGGCGGCUUGUCACGUCGGAUGUGAAAGCCCGGGGCUUAACCCCGGGUCUGCAUUCGAUACGGGCUAGCUAGAGUGUGGUAGGGGAGAUCGGAAUUCCUGGUGUAGCGGUGAAAUGCGCAGAUAUCAGGAGGAACACCGGUGGCGAAGGCGGAUCUCUGGGCCAUUACUGACGCUGAGGAGCGAAAGCGUGGGGAGCGAACAGGAUUAGAUACCCUGGUAGUCCACGCCGUAAACGUUGGGAACUAGGUGUUGGCGACAUU
rnacentral:rRNA from 1 species